UUAACUAUUAUAUAGUACUCAGACGACAUUAAAUUCAAGGUUUGAUAUCCUCUGACGGGCACUUACUAGCCGGAGCCAAUAGUCUGACCGAGGCCUGACGGCCCGCCAAAGCAACAAAGGUAACGAUAACAUAGGGUGGAGAUCUACCCGCAAGGGCAUGAACUCUGUAAUGAUCCCUCCGCAGGUUCACCUACGGAGA
rnacentral:misc_RNA from 1 species